rnacentral:ncRNA from 1 species
CAUUGGGUACGCGACUGGCGAUAGGCGCGGCCCCCGCAUGGCGGACAGGCCGCCGCUGACGUGGAACCACCGCAGGGCACGCGCCCUCGACAACCACUGGGAAGCGUACCGCCCCGGAUGCCGUAGGCACCGGAGUGUUUCAGCCGUUCGCCUGGGCAGCCCUU